UGCCGAACAACCAGCCCUGAAAAUGGAUGGCGCUCAAGCAUUCUCCCGAUACUUGGCCGUCGGUUAGCACUUGAGGCAAUUUACUUUGUCCCGCGAAGCUCCGACGAGUAGGAGGUGCGCUGCGGUGUGCGCCGAAGGUACCGGCGUGAGCCGGACUGGAGCCGCCGCUGGUGAAUAUCUUGGUGGUAGUAGCAAAUACACGAGAGGGUCCCUUGUGGACUGAGGUGGAGAAGGGUUCCAUGUGAACAUCAGUUGAACAUGGGUUAGUCGAUCCUAAGCCUAAGCCUUCGGGCGUGCUCCAAACCAAGGGCUAGCGACAAGAGAUGAAGAGAGAGACCACUCGUUUCUCACUUCUACUUGCCAUGAAUUUGCAAACAGCUCANGAGUGUUAAGGGCGAAAGGGAAUAC
rnacentral:rRNA from 1 species